ACACUGUGCCAUGUCUCAGGCUGCAAUGAUCAAUCAAAUUCAGCACAUAACUUCAAGGAGCUCAGUCUGAUGGGGAAAAUCAAUUAUAAACAGGGAACUACAACGAGACAAUCAGAUCCCUAACUGUGGGAUGAAAUUGUGCUGUGAGAACACAGAAGAGGAAGAGGCAAGCGGAGGCCAGAAGAGGCUUCUCAGAGGAGGUGACGUUUCGCCUGAGACUUCACAGGAAAAACGUAGAUGGCUAUGGUCCUCAAAGUAAUGCUCUAUGCUGAAGAAAAUAAACUGCAAAAUCUGAGUGGCCUAACAUAAUAGGAACUGCAUUUUCAUUCAUUUGACUCAUGCAAAUGCUGGUGCUGGGCAUCCAGUGAUUCAGGAACCAAGCUCCUUCCAUCUUGUGGCUCCACCAUCCUUGAGGGCCUCAUCGCCCUUCACUUCCAGAUGGCAGAUGGGAAGGAGCGGACAGACAAGGCACACCAGGUUCAUCACUUUGUCAACCUACAAGUGACACAUCGUUUCUGCUCACAUUCCAUUAGAGAGAAUCAGUCACAGGUAGAUUGGCUAGGGGUCGGGGUGCGGGCAGGCUGGGAAAUGUAGUCCUUGGCUGGGUAGCACCUUCCAGCCGCUCGUCCACACCACGGAGGCAGAAGAAGCAUCUUCUGGCAGGUGGCUAACCAACUCUGCCACCCUACUGGAGAUCCUAAGACGAAUCUGAGAAUCUGACUCGUUCUUAUACAUGUGAGAAUCCUCAGCCACUGAACACUGAAAGAAUUAACAUCUAACCAAAUUCCUUCCACCUCUGCCAGUUCACACCUUCUGAGAGUUCAUUAAAAUAACUAAAGAGAACCUGGAGAGCAAGUAUAAAAGCUGUUUGCGAGAAUCCACAAAAAUGGGCGCUGACUGAAACAGAAGCGGAUAGCCAACAACCUGUCUUUCUGCCACAGAAUACAAAAAAAGAAGGGGUGUAGACCUAUUUUAUACAGCAGAAUAACCCGUUUCUAGCAGUAAGUUCCCAGGCUGCAGGGAUUAGACACGGCUUCGCCUAAAGGCCCGUUACCAUAAAGUAUGAGGCCGUGCCCAGAGUCACUGUAGCUACAUACACAGAUUAGAGUCCCCCACGUUUUUGUUGUUGUUCUUGUUAAAGAUGAUCUGCCUUGCAUUUGCCUCAAAUGCUUGAGUUUUCUGGGAGGCUGAGGGCUGAGUGAAUGUGUGUUUGAGCAAGUGGUGGAAGGUCGUGGGGGGAACCAUCAUCUCUGUCAGCUCUGCCAUCUUGCCCCUGGGAGUUGCAGCUCAGAGUCAAGAGAAGAAUCCUAGAGCAGUGGUUGUCUUUGAGACCAACCUCGCAAUGCCCACCUAAGUUUUAACUGUGGAUUCCGAUCUACCGGUUGAGGAUUUUCGCGUGCCAUUUAUAAAGCCAUAGCUUUUGUAUAAUGGGAAGGAUGAGAAAUCCAUGCUCCUGUACAAUGAGGAACAUCAAUUGUUAUUAUAUAAUCCCAGUGGGAAUAGGAAAAUGAAAUUCAGCUUACUAGGAGGCUCCCUUAGACCCUGGAUUUGUGUUUCCACUGGUGGAGAAUUCUGUGGCUCUCACCUCUCAUAUUCCUCUGUCUUCUCAUUGCUUUGUCAGAAGCUUUUACUCCACUCCGCUCUGAUGCAGGGGGAGAAGUUACCAUUUCCCAUCUCUCUUUCUAUCCUUACUUGUUUCUUGCCAAGGGAGGGAACACUCACUUAACUAAUGAAAGCUUGGUAUCUAUGGAGGCAUUCUUCUGGCAACUUGUUUCACUUUUACUUGAUUUUGCUACUGCUUUUGUUGUUUUUACCAAGGUGGAUAUGUUGAAGAGGCAACAUGGACCUUCUUCCACCUGCUCUGUGAUGUUACCUCACAGAUCAGUCACAAGGGCAGUGGGUCCUCCUCUCUUUCUUGCUCCCAAGCAGAAGUCCCACCUGGGUGUGGCCUGUCUCUUAGACACAAGCCAAAGGCUGUAUCUCCCUGAGUCUUCUGAAUCUGCUGGCAAUUCCAUAUGAGAAGAGGGCUAUGAUCCUCCACUUUUAGGUGGGCAUCCAGAAGCAGAUCUGCACUUGUAAACACAAAGCCACAUGUUCAGACCACACUGGCUAUAUCAGACACCUUCUAUGCCUGCCCCUUUUAUUCCAGCUUUUGCUGUGGCAACCAGCUGUGCAUGGACACAACCUGACAGCUUCUUGCUCAGCUGCGCAUGGGGCGUCUUGACAUCUGUUCGAAACUUCUCAGCCAUUCUGAUGCAUGUCUACACGUGGGAGUGUCAGCCACCCUGGACCAACAGAAGUCCCUGGAUAAACUCUGCCCUCUUUCCUGGCAGGAGCGAACAACUCUGAGGUGCAUGCUCCAUGGCUCCUCAGAGGGGUCUCGGCAGGACUGAGGUCCAUUUGCCCACAGCAGUGACCAGCUUUCCCAGCUUCCCAAUUUCACUCUUCCCAGACUCCCACUCUCGUUCCUUGGGAUCACUUCUCUACAUAAAAGACCUCCACACAAGAACUGGAGGCAGGCUCUACCUUUUGGGGAGACACAGGCUAAACACUAAUUGAAUGAGCUUUUCAGAUAACAAUACUAAAAGACCACAAAAACUGCGAUAUC